AGAGUUUGAUUAUGGCUCAGGAUAACGUUGGCUGUGUGCCUAAGGUAUGCAAGUCGAACGAUAGUGGCAAACGGGUGAGUAACACGUAGAAACUUGCCUCGAAGUCGGGAAUAGCUCGUCGAAAGACGGGGUAAUAUCCGAUGCUCUAACCACUUCGGUGUUUUAGAGUAAAGCUUUUGUGCUUCGAGAGAGGUCUGCGUCCUAUCAGCUAGUUGGUAAGGUAAUGGCUUACCAAGGCUAAGACGGGUAGCUGGUGUGAGAGCACGGUCAGCCACCAUGGAACUGAGACACGGUCCAUACUCCUACGGGAGGCAGCAAUUAGGAAUCUUGCGCAAUGGGGGCAACCCUGACGCAGCGACACAGCGUGGAGGAGGUUCGUUGACUCCUUUUAUAUGGGAAAACCAUAUGAAUAAGGACCUGCAACUACGUGCCAGAAGCAUCGGUGAUGCGUAGGGUCCGAACGUUAUCCGGAUUUAUUGGGUGUAAGAGAUGCGUAGGCGGUUUGAUAAGUCUUGAGUUAAAGACCUCGGCUCAACCGAGGAAAGCUUUCGAUACUAUCAGACUUGAGGCAUAGAGGGGUGAACGGAAUUCCGAGUGGAGUGGUGAAAUACGUUGAUAUUCGGAGGAACAUCAGUGGCGAAGGCGGUUCACUGGCUAUGCCUGACGCUCAGGCUCGAAAGCGUGGGUAGCAAAACGGAUUAGAUACCCGUGUAGUCCACGCUGUAAACUAUGGAUGCUAGGUGUCUCAUUCGAGUGCUGAGUGCCGCAGCUAACGCGUUAAGCAUCCCACCUGGGAAGUACGGCCGCAAGGCUAAAACUCAAAUGAAUUGGCGGGGACCCGCACAAGCGGAGGAGCGCGUGGUUUAAUUCGAUGGCAAUCGAAGAACCUUACCAGGGUACAUUAUCUGCAUAUUCCCAGAAACGGGAACUUCGUAUCAAGGUGCUGCAUGGCCGUCGUCAGCUCGUGUCGUGAGAUGUAGGGUUAAGUCCCGAAACGAGCGCAACCCCUAUCUCAUGUUAUAUGUGUCUUGAGAAACUGCCUCGGUAAAACGGGGAGGAAGGUGGGGAUGACGUCUGGUCCGCAUAGCCCUUAUGUCCUGGGCUACACACGCGCUACAAUGGUAGGUACAAUGGGCAGCCAAACCGCAAGGUGGAGCUAUCCUAAAAAACCUAUCUCAGUUCGGAUUGUGGGCUGAAACUCGCCCACAUGAAGUUGGAUUCGCUAGUAAUCGUGGAUCAGCAUGCCGCGGUGAAUACGUUCUCGGGUCUUGCCGUC
rnacentral:rRNA from 1 species